GUUGUAUAGUCAAGUAAUUAAGUGCAUGUGGUGGAUGCCUUGGCAGUCAGAGGCGAUGAAAGACGUGAUAGCCUGCGAAAAGCUCCGGGGAGGCGGCAAAUAUCCUUUGAUCCGGAGAUGUCUGAAUGGGGGAACCCACCUACUUUAAGGUAGGUAUUGCAACAUGAAUACAUAGUGUUGCAAGGCGAACGAGGGGAAGUGAAACAUCUCAGUACCCUUAGGAAAAGAAAUCAAUUGAGAUUCCCUCAGUAGCGGCGAGCGAACGGGGAUCAGCCCAUUAAGUUAUGUGUGUUUUAGUGGAACGCUCUGGGAAGUGCGAACGUAGAGGGUGAUAUUCCCGUACACGAAAGGGCACACAUAAUGAUGACGAGUAGGGCGAGGCACGUGAAACCUUGUCUGAAUAUGGGGGGACCAUCCUCCAAGGCUAAAUACUCCUGACUGACCGAUAGUGAACCAGUACCGUGAGGGAAAGGCGAAAAGAACCCCUGUGAGGGGAGUGAAAUAGAUCCUGAAACCGCAUGCAUACAAGCAGUGGGAGCACCUUCGUGGUGUGACUGCGUACCUUUUGUAUAAUGGGUCAGCGACUUAUAUUCAGUAGCAAGGUUAACCGUAUAGGGGAGCCGUAGAGAAAUCGAGUCUUAAUAGGGCGUUUAGUUGCUGGGUAUAGACCCGAAACCAGGCGAUCUAUCCAUGAGCAGGUUGAAGGUUGGGUAACACUAACUGGAGGACCGAACCCACUGUCGUUGAAAAGCCAGGGGAUGACUUGUGGAUAGGGGUGAAAGGCUAAUCAAGCCUGGUGAUAGCUGGUUCUCCCCGAAAGCUAUUUAGGUAGCGCCUCGGACGAAUACCAUAGGGGGUAGAGCACUGUUUCGGCUAGGGGGUCAUCCCGACUUACCAAACCGAUGCAAACUCCGAAUACCUAUGAGUACUAUCCGGGAGACAGACUGCGGGUGCUAACGUCCGUAGUCAAGAGGAAAACAAUCCAGACCGCCAGCUAAGGCCCCAAAAUCAUAGUUAAGUGGGAAACGAUGUGGGAAGGCAUAGACAGCUAGGAGGUUGGCUUANGAAGCAGCCACCCUUUAAAGAAAGCGUAAUAGCUCACUAGUCGAGUCGGCCUGCGCGGAAGAUGUAACGGGGCUAAAACUAUGUGCCGAAGCUGCGGAUGUAUACUUUGUAUACGUGGUAGGGGAGCGUUCUGUAAGCCGAUGAAGGUGUGUUGAGAAGCNAUGCUGGAGGUAUCAGAAGUGCGAAUGCUGACGUGAGUAACGACAAAACGGGUGAAAAACCCGUUCGCCGAAAGACCAAGGGUUCCAGUCCAACGUUAAUCGGGGCUGGGUGAGUCGACCCCUAAGGCGAGGCCGAAAGGCGUAGUCGAUGGGAAAAUGGUUAAUAUUCCAUUACUUCUGUGUAAUGCGAUGAGAGGACGGAGAAGGCUAAAUCAGCCUGGCGUUGGUUGUCCAGGUGAAAGGAUGUAGGCAUGUAUCUUAGGCAAAUCCGGGGUACUCUAUGCUGAGAUCUGAUAGCAAGCUGUACUUGUACAGCGAAGUGGUUGAUGCCAUGCUUCCAGGAAAAGUCUCUAAGCUUCAGUUACACAGGAAUCGUACCCGAAACCGACACAGGUGGUCAGGUCGAGUAGACCAAGGCGCUUGAGAGAACUCUGCUGAAGGAACUAGGCAAAAUGGUACCGUAACUUCGGGAGAAGGUACGCUGUUGUUGGUGAUGGAACUCGCUUCCUGAGCUGACGACAGCCGCAGAAACCAGGCCGCUGCAACUGUUUAUUAAAAACAUAGCACUCUGCAAACACGAAAGUGGACGUAUAGGGUGUGAUGCCUGCCCGGUGCUGGAAGGUUAAUUGAUGGGGUUAGCGUAAGCGAAGCUCUUGAUCGAAGCCCCAGUAAACGGCGGCCGUAACUAUAACGGUCCUAAGGUAGCGAAAUUCCUUGUCGGGUAAGUUCCGACCUGCACGAAUGGCAUAAUGAUGGCGGCGCUGUCUCCAGCAGAGGCUCAGUGAAAUCGAAAUCGCUGUGAAGAUGCAGUGUACCCGCGGCUAGACGGAAAGACCCCGUGAACCUUUACUGCAGCUUGACACUGAACUUUGACCUUACUUGUGUAGGAUAGGUGGGAGGCUUUGAAGCUGGAACGCUAGUUCCAGUGGAGCCGUCCUUGAAAUACCACCCUGGUAAUGUUGAGGUUCUAACUCUGUCCCGUGAUCCGGGACGAGGACCGUGUCUGGUGGGUAGUUUGACUGGGGCGGUCUCCUCCUAAAGAGUAACGGAGGAGUACGAAGGUGCGCUCAGCGUGGUCGGAAAUCACGCGUAGAGUAUAAAGGCAAAAGCGCGCUUAACUGCGAGACCCACAAGUCGAGCAGGUACGAAAGUAGGUCUUAGUGAUCCGGUGGUUCUGUAUGGAAGGGCCAUCGCUCAACGGAUAAAAGGUACUCUGGGGAUAACAGGCUGAUACCGCCCAAGAGUUCAUAUCGACGGCGGUGUUUGGCACCUCGAUGUCGGCUCAUCUCAUCCUGGGGCUGAAGCAGGUCCCAAGGGUAUGGCUGUUCGCCAUUUAAAGAGGUACGCGAGCUGGGUUUAGAACGUCGUGAGACAGUUCGGUCCCUAUCUACCGUGGGCGCUGGAAAUUUGAGAGGAUCUGCUCCUAGUACGAGAGGACCAGAGUGGACGAACCUCUGGUGUACCGGUUGUGACGCCAGUCGCAUCGCCGGGUAGCUAUGUUCGGAAGGGAUAACCGCUGAAAGCAUCUAAGCGGGAAGCCUACCUCAAGAUAAGAUUUCCCUAGGACUUUAUGUCCUCUAAAGAGCCGUUCGAGACUAGGACGUUGAUAGGUUGGAUGUGGAAGCAUAGUGAUAUGUGAAGCUGACCAAUACUAAUUGCUCGUGAGGCUUGACUAUACAACACCCAAGCAGUUG
rnacentral:rRNA from 1 species